rnacentral:rRNA from 1 species
UACGUAGGGCGCAAGCGUUAUCCGGAAUUAUUGGGCGUAAAGAGCUCGUAGGCGGUUUGGUAAGUCGGCUGUGAAAGUCAGGGGCUCAACCCUUGAAAGCCGGCCGAUACUGUCGGACUAGAGUCCGGAAGAGGCAAGUGGAAUUCCCGGUGUAGCGGUGAAAUGCGCAGAUAUCGGGAGGAACGCCGGUGGCGAAGGCGGCCAUCUGGACGGAUACUGACGCUGAGACGCGAAAGCGUGGGUAGCAAACAGG